rnacentral:rRNA from 1 species
CCUACGGGAGGCAGCAGUGGGGAAUUUUGGACAAUGGACGCAAGUCUGAUCCAGCCAUGCCGCGUGCGGGAAGAAGGCCUUCGGGUUGUAAACCGCUUUUGUCAGGGAAGAAAAGGUUCUGGUUAAUACCUGGGACUCAUGACGGUACCUGAAGAAUAAGCACCGGCUAACUACGUGCCAGCAGCCGCGGUAAUACGUAGGGUGCAAGCGUUAAUCGGAAUUACUGGGCGUAAAGCGUGCGCAGGCGGUUAUGCAAGACAGAGGUGAAAUCCCCGGGCUCAACCUGGGAACUGCCUUUGUGACUGCAUAGCUAGAGUACGGUAGAGGGGGAUGGAAUUCCGCGUGUAGCAGUGAAGUGCGUAGAUAUGCGGAGGAACACCGAUGGCGAAGGCAAUCCCCUGGACCUGUACUGACGCUCAUGCACGAAAGCGUGGGGAGCAAACAGGAUUAGAUACCCUGGUAGUCCACGCCCUAAACGAUGUCAACUGGUUGUUGGGAGGGUUUCUUCUCAGUAACGUAGCUAACGCGUGAAGUUGACCGCCUGGGGAGUACGGCCGCAAGGUUGAAACGUCAAAGGAAUUGACGG